rnacentral:rRNA from 1 species
CGCUGGCGGCGUGCUUAACACAUGCGAAGUCGAACGAGGAUUAUGUUGGAGGGGCUUCGGCCUGGAAGAUGUAAUUCGAGUGGCGGACGGGUGAGUAACGCGUGAACAAUCUGUCCCGGACAGGGGAAUAACACUUGGAAACAGGUGCUAAUACCGCAUAAGACCACGCCCUCGCAUGGGGGAGGGGUAAAAGGAGCAAUCCGGUUCGGGGUGAGUUCGCGUCCGAUUAGAUAGUUGGUGAGGUAACGGCCCACCAAGUCGACGAUCGGUAGCCGACCUGAGAGGGUGAUCGGCCACAUUGGAACUGAGAGACGGUCCAAACUCCUACGGGAGGCAGCAGUGGGGAAUAUUGGGCAAUGGGCCGAAAGCCUGACCCAGCAACGCCGCGUGAGUGAAGAAGGCUUUCGGGUUGUAAAGCUCUGUUAUAGGGGACGAAGGAAGUGACGGUACCCUAUAAGGAAGCCCCGGCUAACUACGUGCCAGCCGCGGC